AGAUGCACAGGGCCUUGCUCUGUCCCCCAGGCUGGAGUACAGUGGCUCCAUCAUGGAUCACUGCAGCCUCUAACUCCUGGGCUCAAGCAAUCCUCCUGUGUCAGCCUCCCAGAUACCUAGGAUUACAGAUAUGUGCCCCAAUGCCUGCCUAAUUUUUCUUUGUAUUUUUUCUGGAGAUGGGGUUUGCUACAUUGCCCAGACUGGUCUCAAACACCUGGGUUCAGUUGUCCUGCCUCGGCCUCCCAAAGUGCUGGGAUUACAGGCAUGAGCCACCACACUCGAACACUUGGGGUGGUUUUAAGCCCCCAGCAAGGUGCACCAGCAGGACCAGGAGGUGGCCUAGGCACCCCCUAUCACUCCCAUCCAUGCAAACCUAGGCAAGUCCCUGUCUCUGAAUCUCAGCCACCACCACAUACAAUGCAAGUCGGAAGAUGGGCAGGACUGGGGGUGGGGCAGGCAGAGGCCACCUCUGUCAGGCUGGGGUUGCAUGGGCUGGAGGCUGUCUUCCCAUACCUGGGACAUGACCUCCAAGGACCAGCUGUCAGUCAUGGUGAUGGGCUGGCUGGGGUUGGCAGGGAGCUUGCUCUCCUUCUCGGAGGGCCGGAGCAGCGUGGGGCCAAACACCGUGCCAAGGUUGUGCAGGGACAUCUUAUUGACUGCCUCCUUCUCUGCCAUCCUGUAGAGGACCGAAGCAGAGGGUGCUGUUUCAACGCCACCACCAGGAGAGAGGCAGAGGGGCUGUGCCGUGCUAGAGUCCUCAGGGAGGGAGUGACCUCGACCCUGGCUGUGCUGCAAGCUGACUCCAGCCUUGGGGUCAGCAGCACCCGGCAAACAGCAGCAGGAGGAGCCGCUAGAGCAGCUGCUCAUGGGCAGAGCUGCCCUCGGGCAACUCCUGCCACCACCCCCUCCCCAGGGAGCCCAAGGCAGGGGAGGCUCAGCAUGGAAUGAAACAGCCUCUGAGGGCAGCAGUGCACGUGGAGGAGACGUCUCCCAUGAGGCCAAGGCCUCCAGUGCUCACCGAUGCCCUCUGCGAAGUUGGGGUAGAACUCGUCAGUGAAGAGGGGCUCGGGCAGCUCACGGAAGUACAGCUUCAGCAUGCCUGCGAUGGCGUUCACGUCCAUCUCGCUCAUCAUCACUGACACGUCCUUGUUAUCUGGAAAGAGCACGGAAAUGCAGCGGCCUCCUUGAAGAUCCUGAUAAAUGAAGAAAAGACACAGAGAAGGAUGUGACAUGCCUGGGCCAUGGAGCACUCUGAGAUCUCAUCGUGGACACCACUGCCCACACCUCCAUCCCGUCCUGCGCAGGCCGACACUCACUGACGUUGAAGCCUGCCUUCAGUGCCUGGAUGUCUGCGGCCACCCCAGACAUGCGGUAGAUGCCCACCUCCUCCAUGCCUCGGCGCUCGAUCUCCUCCACGCACUGACGCACGAUGUAGGGCACCUUGGACCUCUCUCUCCUGCGGGAGGAGGGAAUGUUCUCAGUGUCCUAACAGCCCUGCUUGGGCCAUAACACAGGAGACCUGCUCCCUAUCUGCGCACCCGGAGGUGGGGUGAGGACGGUGAC
rnacentral:lncRNA from 1 species